rnacentral:lncRNA from 1 species
AUAGGGGCUUCAAGUAAAUUUUUUAUAGAGGCUGGAUGCAUGUGCGGCUAUGAACAACUAGCAAAGAUCCUCUCUACCAUGUCUCUCAGCAGCGAUGAUCAUCGAUCAAUGCUUAGGUAUCGAGUUCUGAACUCAGAUUAGAAGUAAAUGUGAUCUACUGCUCACACACAUACAUGCUGAUUUUAUCUUCAGUAUUUUUCAGAUUUUAUAUGUAACAUAUUAUGUCAAAAAUCCUAGAGUAGGUUGAUUUGAUGAUUAGAUC